rnacentral:lncRNA from 1 species
UGUUGUAAGAACAGGGUAGAGUUGUUUUAGGGGGUGUUUGCCCUAGCUUUUAAAAGCUGAUUUUUAGCUUAAAAGUGAUUUUCGGCUCAGUAGAACGUUUGACAAUCUCAUUUUUAAAAUCUUAUUUUGAUUUUUUAGAAUUAAUUUUCUAAUUUUCGAGACCCAAAAUCAGAAACAGCUAAAACUUGCUUCUUGAAAUCUGAUUCUGAUUUUGGACUCAAAAUUCAAAUUUUUUAUUUUUGUUUACGAUUCAAAAUUUUUAUUUAUAUUUAAAUUUAGCUUUAAAUUUAUUUUUGAAUUUUUAAAUUUAACUUUUAAAAUUUAAAAUUUAAAAUUUAGAUAUUUAAUUUCAAUUUUCAAAAUUUAAAUUUAAAUUUAAAAUCUCAAAAUUUAAAUUUAAAUUUAAAAUCUCAAAUUUUAAAUUUUAAAUUUCAAAAUUUUAAAUUUCAAAUUAAAGUUUAAGAUAAAAUUUAUAAUCUGAAAUUUUAGAAUUUGAAAAUUUUAAUUAAAAAUUUUAAAAUUUUAAAUUUUAAAUUUUAAAAUUUAUAAUUAUAUGCUUUAAUUUUUCAAAUUACAAUUUUAAAUUUUAAAUUUUAAAUUUUAAAAUUUAAAUUUUUAAAAUUUGAAUUUUGAAUUUUAUAAUUC